rnacentral:rRNA from 1 species
CCCUACGGGGGGCAGCAGUGGGGGAUAUUGCACAAUGGGGGGAACCCUGAUGCAGCGACGCCGCGUGGGUGAAGAAGCGCCUUGGCGCGUAAAGCCCUGUCAGCAGGGAAGAAAAUGACGGUACCUGAAGAAGAAGCCCCGGCUAAAUACGUGCCAGCAGCCGCGGCAAUACGUAGGGGGCAAGCGUUAUCAGGAUUUACUGGGUGUAAAGGGGGCGCAGACGGCGAUGCAAGCCAGGAGUGAAAGCCCGGGGUCCAACCCCGGUACUGCUCUUGGAAUUGCGUGGCGUGAGUGCAG